rnacentral:misc_RNA from 1 species
CAAUAAGUGUUCAAUGGCACUUUAAAAUCCAUUACCCACCUUGUGUGCAAUGUAAGGAGGAGGGUGGCCAGACUUUUUUGGUCUGGUCCCCUCUUUCAUUAUACAUACCAAUCUUCUCUUGUUGUCUACUUUUUGAGUAUAAAAAACUCGAAUA